AUUGAACGCUGGCGGCAGGCCUAACACAUGCAAGUCGAGCGGAUGAAGAGAGCUUGCUCUCUGAUUUAGCGGCGGACGGGUGAGUAACGCCUAGGAAUCUGCCUGGUAGUGGGGGAUAACGUUCCGAAAGGAACGCUAAUACCGCAUACGUCCUACGGGAGAAAGCAGGGGACCUUCGGGCCUUGCGCUAUCAGAUGAGCCUAGGUCGGAUUAGCUAGUUGGUGAGGUAAUGGCUCACCAAGGCUACGAUCCGUAACUGGUCUGAGAGGAUGAUCAGUCACACUGGAACUGAGACACGGUCCAGACUCCUACGGGAGGCAGCAGUGGGGAAUAUUGGACAAUGGGCGAAAGCCUGAUCCGGCCAUGCCGCGUGUGUGAAGAAGGUCUUCGGAUUGUAAAGCACUUUAAGUUGGGAGGAAGGGCAGUAAGUUAAUACCUUGCUGUUUUGACGUUACCGACAGAAUAAGCACCGGCUAACUUCGUGCCAGCCGCCGCCGUAAUAC
rnacentral:rRNA from 1 species